rnacentral:tRNA from 2 species
ACACUGGUGGUUCAGUGGUAGAAUUCUUGCUUUCAGUGCAGGAGAUCUGGGUUCAAAUCCCAGCCAAUAUA